rnacentral:rRNA from 1 species
CUACGGGCCGCAGCAGUGAGGAAUAUUGCACAAUGGGGGGAACCCUGAUGCAGCAACGCCGCGUGGAGGAUGACGCAUUUCGGUGUGUAAACUCCUUUUAUAUGUCAAGAAAAUGACGGUAGCAUAUGAAUAAGCACCGGCUAACUCCGUGCCAGCAGCCGCGGUAAUACGGAGGGUGCAAGCGUUACUCGGAAUCACUGGGCGUAAAGGACGCGUAGGCGGGUUGGAAAGUCAGGUGUGAAAUCCUACAGCUUAACUGUAGAACUGCACUUGAAACUUCUAAUCUAGAGUAGGGGAGGGGAAGAUGGAAUUAGUGGUGUAGGGGUAAAAUCCGUAGAUAUCACUAGGAAUACCUAAAGCGAAGGCGAUCUCCUGGAACAUUACUGACGCUAAGGCGUGAAAGCGUGGGGAGCAAACAGGAUUAGAUACCCUUGUAGUC